CCGUAUAGGACUUAAUCGCA
rnacentral:snRNA from 1 species